CAAUAGCGUAUAUUAAAGUUGUUGCAGUUAAAAAGCUCGUAGUUGGAUUUGUGGUGUGUCCAGUCGGCCUUUGCUCUCUGAGUGAUUGUGCUGUACUGGUCUGCCAUGUUUGGGUGGAAUCUGUGUGGCAUUAAGUUGUCGUGCAGGGGAUGCCCAUCGUUUACUGUGAAAAAAUUAGAGUGUUCAAAGCAGGCUUAUGCCGUUGAAUAUAUUAGCAUGGAAUAAUGAUAUAGGACCUUGGUACUAUUUUGUUGGUUUGCGCACUAAGGUAAUGAUUAAGAGGGACAGUUGGGGGUAUUUGUAUUCCAUUGUCAGGGGUGAAAUUCUUAGAUUUUUGGAAGACAAACUACUGCGAAAGCAUUUACCAAGGAUGUUUUCAUUAA
rnacentral:rRNA from 1 species